rnacentral:rRNA from 1 species
UACGUAGGGGGCAAGCGUUGUCCGGAAUCAUUGGGCGUAAAGCGCGUGUAGGCGGCUUGGUAAGUCCGGUGUGAAAACUUGGGGCUCAACCCCAAGCGUGCACCGGAUACUGCCUCGCUCGAGUCCGGGAGAGGGAAGCGGAACUCCUAGUGUAGCGGUGAAAUGCGCAGAUAUUAGGAAGAACACCGGUGGCGAAGGCGGCUUCCUGGAACGGUACUGACGCUGAGACGCGAAAGCGUGGGGAGCAAAC